AGAGUUUGAUCCUGGCUCAGAUUGAACGCUGGCGGCAUGCCUAACACAUGCAAGUCGAACGGUAACGCGGGGGCAACCCUGGCGACGAGUGGCGGACGGGUGAGUAAUACGUAGGAAUCUGCCCAGUAGCGGGGGAUAACUUWRGGRAAMYYMARGCUAAUACCGCAUACGCCCCACGGGGGAAAGCAGGGGAUCGCAAGACCUUGCACUAUUGGAUGAGCCUACGUCGGAUUAGCUAGUUGGUGGGUAAAAGCCUACCAAGGCGACGAUCCGUAGCUGGUCUGAGAGGACGAUCAGCCACACUGGGACUGAGACACGGCCCAGACUCCUACGGGAGGCAGCAGUGGGGAAUAUUGGACAAUGGGGGCAACCCUGAUCCAGCAAUGCCGCGUGUGUGAAGAAGGCCUGCGGGUUGUAAAGCACUUUCGAUGGGAAAGAAAAGCUUGGGGCUAAUAUCCUCAAGUGUUGACGUUACCCAGAGAAGAAGCACCGGCUAACUCUGUGCCAGCCGCCGCGGUAAUUCA
rnacentral:rRNA from 1 species